ACUGGAGUUUGAUCCUGGCUCAGAGCGAACGCUGGCGGCAGGCCUAACACAUGCAAGUCGAACGGACCCUUCGGGGUUAGUGGCGGACGGGUGAGUAACACGUGGGAACGUGCCUUUUUGGUUCGGAAUAGCUCCUGGAAACGGGUGGUAAUGCCGAAUGUGCCCUUUGGGGGAAAGAUUUAUCGCCAUUAGAGCGGCCCGCGUCUGAUUAGCUAGUUGGUGAGGUAAUGGCUCACCAAGGCAACGAUCUAUAGCUGAUUUGAGAGAAUGAUCAGCCACAAUGGAACUGAGAACGGUCCAUACUCCUACGGGGAGCAGCAGUGAGGAAUAGUU
rnacentral:rRNA from 1 species